rnacentral:tRNA from 1 species
AUCUGGCUGGCUCAAUCGGUAGAGCGUGUGACUCUUGAUCUCGGGGUCAUGAGUUCCAGCCCCAUGCUGGGUG